rnacentral:rRNA from 1 species
AGAGAGACUGCCGGUGGUUAAGCCGGAGGAAGGUGGGGAUGACGUCAAGUCCUCAUGGCCUUUAUGUCUAGGGCUACACACGUGCUACAAUGGGUGGUACAAAGAGCAGCUAACUCGCGAGAGUAUGCAAAUCUCAAAAAGCCAUCCUCAGUUCGGAUUGGAGUCUGCAACUCGACUCCAUGAAGUUGGAAUCGCUAGUAAUCGCGGAUCAGCAUGCCGCGGUGAAUACGUUCCCGGGCCUU